CUUCAUGAUUUGGGCAUUGCAUUAGAUUGUUAUUGAAUCGCUGCCAAGCCUCAUAUAAUGGUUCGCCAUUAAGAUAGUGAAAGUUGGUGAUUUCAUCUCUUAGUUG
rfam:Capsicum annuum cultivar Zunla-1 chromosome 4, whole genome shotgun sequence